CAGAGAAGGAGCCAGGCUGCCACCCCAGAGCUGGUCAGGGCAGAGCCCAGCAGGGCAUGACUGGCGAGAAGGGCGAGGGUAGGAACAGCAGGCCAGUGACCCAGACAUGCAUGGCUGUGACCUUCAGGAGCCCAUGGGCCCAAGAGAUACAUAGGAUCUGCACCCAGAAAACUGUGAGGGAAGACUCACAAUUCAGGUGAGGAGACCCCUGGAUGCCUGGCUUCAAGGGGAGAGACCUCUGUUCACCUGGCUCCAGGGCCCGGAAGAGGGUGCAGUCACCGUCCUCACUUAGCAGAAGAGGAGCAGAGGAACGUGGACCUCACAGCUGGGACUCGGGAGCCGGGUAGAACCCACAGCCUGGAGGCAGCU